rnacentral:lncRNA from 1 species
AGGGUUUAGAGUUAAGGGGUGGGGUUUAGGAUUUAGGGUUUAAGGUUUAGAGUUUAGGGUUUAGGGUUUAGGGUUUAGAGUUUAGGUUUUAGGGUUUAGAGUUUAGGUUUUAGGGUUUAGAGUUGGGGAGUGGGGGUUUUGGGGAUAAGAUUUCAAAUUUUGAAUAAUAAAAAAAAUUAAAAUUUUCAAAAGAUAAAAUGCUAUUUUUGUCAUUUUCGUUUUUGAAGGCUAUUUUGUGAUAUAAACUUAGAAAUGUGCUAUUUUGGAGAUUUGCCCAAAAGAAAUCCAGUUUUGAAAGACGGGUCAGAAUUUAGCAUAAAUUAAAUAAAAAAUAAUUUUUAAAUUUAUUCUCUCAUGAAUAUAUUAAUUUGCUUAAUAACUAUAUGCAGAUAAAGUAAGAUAAAUAUAUAAUAAGAAGUGACCAAUAUAUACGGUUUUAAACAAUUGAUUAAUUAUAACAUGUAAAUUAUAAAAUUAUUGUAUUUGAAAUAGUUAUAUAAAUAUUUAAGUAUAUGAUUAACGUUAAAAAUAUAUACCACUUAUGUUCUAAAACAAUAAUUUAUGUAUAGAAAACUGAAAACAAACACCUGCGUGGUUGCGCGGAUCAAAAUCUAGCGCGUGUUAAAAUAUAAAUUCAGUUAAUAGAAGUUGAGAAAUGUGGGUGCGUGUUUGAGUCCACUAACAAAAGCCAGAAAAGUUACAAACAGUGGACUUUGGAUUUUCUUGAAACGUGAUUACUAAAAGUCAAAUAUAAGAAUAGUAUAUCCUUUAACAUCCUUUGAACUACAAACAAAUAUGGAUACA